AUGCUCGCUUUGGCAGCACAUAUACUAAAAAUUGGAACGAUACUGAGAAGAUUAGCAUGGCCCCUGUGCAAGGAUGACACGCAAAUUCGUGAAGUGUUCCAUAUUAAA
rnacentral:snRNA from 1 species